CAGUUCUCUUGCACGGGCCCGAGUGAUUGGCCCAGAAGGUGGCGCCUGGGGUGGAGAUGCAUCUGGAAGCGCUGGAGAAGGUGCUGCUGGUGUAGACGUACUCGUGGUGUCCUCAUCACUUAUGCCCCUAGGUGUAUAGAAAAAAUAAGCGUAAUCCUAUCAGGUGGCGAUUCCUGUCCGCCCGUCCGACCCAGCCCUCCCACCGAUCUCUGCAGGGUGCCGCCGCCGCUGGAAAUGCGCCGCCGCCGGAAGGGCGCCGCAACCGGCCGUGCGCCACCGGGCUCGUUCGGAUCUGCCGCCACCGCCUCGAGGGCGGCCCGCCGCCGCCGCGAGGGUGCGCCCGCGAUGCUAGGGCGCGCAAGCGCCGCGAGGGCGCGCCACCGCCGCCGUGAUGGCACCCCGCCGUCGCCAGGGUGCGCGGGUGCCAUGAGGGCCGCCCGCCGCGACCCAGGCACGCCGCCGCCGCCAAGGCGCACCGCCGCGCGUCCCCACCUCCCGGCCCCCCCCCUCCCGAUCUGUUGCCGCCGCCGUUCGUCAGGUCACGUGGAGGCCACAGCAGCAGAACAGCAAGUAGCUAAGACUUUCCUCUCCAUAACUCACUGUUUUUAUUGCACAAAUGUGAUGAAUGCAUAUGUGAUGAGCAUGCGCUAUUGUUCAUCUGUAGGAUGGACUCGGACACUUGUUUCAAUCUAGAAAUUUGGGUUAUUGCGUGCAAUUGCACAGGUCGGUGGUUUUGCUUUAACAAAGUUGUGGAUGCUGACUUAACCAGCUUCAAAGAUUUGAUUGAUGAAGUUGCUGAAAACCAUCGUCCUAUGGGCGGUGACAUACUCUCGAUUUGUUAUUAGUGUAUGGAUACAAAUGCCAAUAUCAAAGUUCGCAACGACAAAGAUGUAGUUGACAUAAGGCUUCAAAACGAUGCUUGUUGAGUGUUUCUUACCAUAGCCCUGCUAGUGAGCCUCCAGAAGUCCCACCAUGGAAAUUUGAUACUGUCCAAUCAAUUGAACCUCCAUUCACACCUUCAGUUCCAUGCCCAAGCAUAGUACAACCUAGCCUUGAAAUUCAGAGUGAAAAUACAGCACAUCUUCCCAAUCCUCCUAGUGAAUCAAAUGUUGAGUACUCAGAGUAUGUGGGCACUGAUGAUGAAUGCUUGUAUAUUGACAUUGGUCCCCAAAAUCCAAUACCUUCUCAGAGUCCAAUUGGCACUAAACAUAGAGAUGAUUCGGGUCAUGAAUCUGGUAGCCAUGAUGAAUCUGGUAGUGAUGAUGAAUCUGAUAGUGAUGAUGAAGUAGAGGAUGUAGAUGAGAUUGUCAAAGAUAGAGAGCCUCCACAAAAACCUGACACCAAUUAUGACAAGAAGGAUCCUCCUAUGACAGUAGGCACUUUGUAUUCUGACAUUGGUGCUUUUAAGUUGGCUUUAGCUACACAUGCUACUAAAUAUUAGUUCCAGUAUAAUAUUGAAAAGAGUGAUCCCACUCGACACAGGGUGUACUGCAGUGGCAAGGAUUUUGGUUGUAGGUGGAGAAUUCAUGCCUCUACUCUAAAUGAUGGAGUCACAAUUAAGAUCAAGAGGAACCCAUACCCUCAUGAAGGAAGUUAGAGUACUAGGAGGGCAGGCACUUGUGUUGGGGUGACUCAGUUUUGGGUGUGUGAACAAGUGCUUCAUUGGCUGAAGGAGAAACCGACAUUGGCCCCCAAGGAUCUAAAAAAGAAGCUGAAGGAAAGUCACAAAAUUGAUGUGCCCUACAGAAAAGUUGUGAGAGGUAAACAAAUUGCUAUGGAUAAACUUUAUGGUCCUUGGGACAAAAGUUUUGACAACCUGUACAGAUUCAAGGCUCAAAUAGAAGAAAGCAGUCCUGGAUCCUUUGUUGUGAUUGAUCAUCACACCAUCAACAACAAGAUAAGGUUCAAUAGGCUAUUUUUUGCUUUGAAAGCUUGUGUUGAUGGUUUCUUUCGAGGUUGUAGGCCAUAUCUUGCAGUAGAUAGUACAUUUUUGACUGAAAGGUUCAGAGGUCAGUUGUGUAUAGCUUGUGCAGUUGAUGGGCAUAACUGGAUGCACCCAGUGGCUAUUGGUGUCAUUGACUCGGAAACAAAUGAGAAUUGGGUGUGGCUCAUGGAGAGGUUGAAGGAAGCUAUAGGCACCCCAGUUGGGCUUUCAUUCAACACUGAUUGUGGGCAAGCAGUGAUGAAUGGGGUUAGUGAGGUUUUUCCACAAGCUGAACAUAGAGAGUGUAUGUACCACCUUGUGCAUAAUUUCAAGAAGAGGUACAGUGGACAGAUUUUUUAUGAUCA